AGGGAGCGUAGGCGGCUGAUUAAGUCAGCGGUGAAAGGUAGCAGCUUAACUGUUUUACAUGCCGUUGAUACUGGUUAGCUUGAGUUGACAGAAGGCAGAUAGAAUUCCUGGUGUAGCGGUGAAAUGCUUAGAGUACCAGGAGGAAUACCGAUUGCGAAGGCAGUCUGCUGCAGUCACACUGACGCUGAGGCUCGAAGGUGCGGGGAUCAAACAGGAUUAGAUACCCUAGU
rnacentral:rRNA from 1 species